GAUGAAGAACGCAGCGAAAUGCGAUAAGUAAUGUGAAUUGCAGAAUUCAGUGAAUCAUCGAAUCUUUGAACGCACAUUGCGCCCGCCAGUAUUCUGGCGGGCAUGCCUGUUCGAGCGUCAUUUCAACCAUCAAGCCCCAGGCUUGUGUUGGGGACCUGCGGCUGCCCGCAGGCCCUGAAAACCAGUGGCGGGCUCGCUGUCACACCGAGCGUAGUAGCAAUCACCUCGCUCAGGGCGUGCUGCGGGUUCCGGCCGUUAAACAGCCUUACAAAACCCAAGGUUGACCUCGGAUCAGGUAGGAAGACCCGCUGAACUUAAGCAUAUCAAUAAGCGGAGGA
rnacentral:misc_RNA from 1 species